rnacentral:rRNA from 2 species
UGAGGAAUAUUGGUCAAUGGGCGAGAGCCUGAACCAGCCAAGUAGCGUGAAGGAUGAAGGUCCUACGGAUUGUAAACUUCUUUUAUACGGGAAUAAAGUAUCCUACGUGUAGGAUUUUGUAUGUACCGUAUGAAUAAGCAUCGGCUAACUCCGUGCCAGCAGCCGCGGUAAUACGGAGGAUGCGAGCGUUAUCCGGAUUUAUUGGGUUUAAAGGGAGCGCAGACGGGAGAUUAAGUCAGUUGUGAAAGUUUGCGGCUCAACCGUAAAAUUGCAGUUGAUACUGGUUUCCUUGAGUGCAGUUGAGGCAGGCGGAAUUCGUGGUGUAGCGGUGAAAUGCUUAGAUAUCACGAAGAACCCCGAUUGCGAAGGCAGCUUGCUAAACUGUAACUGACGUUCAUGCUCGAAAGUGUGGGUAUCAAACA